UCCGGGCAGGGCCCGGCGGCAGGACCGCCCGGGGCUCCGCGGGCACGGCGGGGCGGGCUGGGGACUGUCGCCACGCGGGGCCUGCCCACGGGGCGCGGAGCGGCUGCAGCCUCCCGGGGCCUCUCAGGACCCGAGGCUGCCGGUAUCUACGUCCUCGGAGGGAAGGAAUGAGCAGAAACUUCUUUUUCGCCUCGUGCUUCAGGACAAGUUUCCCUUGGCGCCCUACGCGUUGUGCAGCAAUGCGGUUGUCUCCCCGAACAGGGAUUUCCUCAUUGUCAGACUGUGUUGAGCAACCUUCACGAUUCAAGUGUAAUGGAAAAUCCUCUGACGAAGAUAAAAACGUGAGCUCUUCAGGCAAAACGUUUCAUUUCCUCUUUGUCAAUCUGCUAAUUCAUACAUUAAAAAUGCUGACUCAAA